rnacentral:rRNA from 1 species
GAGUAAUGUCUGGGAAACUGCCUGAUGGAGGGGGAUAACUACUGGAAACGGUGACUAAUACCGCAUAACAUCUCAUGACCAAAGAGGGGGACCUUCGGGCCUCUUGCCAUCAGAUGUGCCCAGAUGGGAUUAGCUUGUUGGUGAGGUAACGGCUCACCAUGGCGACGAUCCCUAGCUGGUCUGAGAGGAUGACCAGGCACACUGGAACUGAAACACGUCCCCAACUCCUACCGGAUGCACCAUGGGGGAAUAUUGUGCAUUGCCCGCAAGCCUGAUGCAGCCAUGCCACGUGGAUUACGAACGCCUUCGGGUUGUAAAGUACUUUCAGCGGGGAGGAAGGUGUUGUGGUUAAUAACCACCUGUCUUGACGUUACCGAAGGAAGAAGCACCGGCUAACUCCUUGCCAGGAUGUCGGAAAUACGGAGGGUGUUCGCGUUGUCGGAAUUACUGGGCAUGCUCCGCCGCUUGUGCGU